UACGUAGGGGGCAAGCGUUGUCCGGAAUUAUUGGGCGUAAAGAGCGUGUAGGCGGUCCGGUAAGUCAGCUGUGAAAGUCAAGGGCUCAACCCUUGAAUGCCGGUUGAUACUGUCGGGCUAGAGUCCGGAAGAGGCGAGUGGAAUUCCCGGUGUAGCGGUGAAAUGCGCAGAUAUCGGGAGGAACACCAAUGGCGAAGGCAGCUCGCUGGGACGUUACUGACACUGAGGCGCGAAAGCGUGGGGAGCGAACAGG
rnacentral:rRNA from 1 species